rnacentral:rRNA from 1 species
UACGGGGGGGGCAAGCGUUGUUCGGAAUUACUGGGCGUAAAGGGCUCGUAGGCGGCCAACUAAGUCCGACGUGAAAUCCCAAGGCUUAACCUUGGAACUGCGUCGGAUACUGGAUGGCUUGAAUUCGGGAGAGGGAUGCAGAAUUCCAGGUGUAGCGGUGAAAUGCGUAGAUAUCUGGAGGAAUACCGGUGGCGAAGGCGGCAUCCUGGACCGACAUUGACGCUGAGGAGCGAAAGCUAGGGGAGCGAACGGG